rnacentral:rRNA from 1 species
GGCAACAUGAGAGUCUAACUGUCUCUUAUAACAAAUCAAUUAAACUGAUCUUCUAGUACAAAAGCUAGAAUCCCCCCAUAAGACCAGAAGACCCUGUGAAGCUUUAAUUAACCUAUUAAACCCCAUAAUAGCUAAUUUCGGUUGGGGCGACCUUGGAACAAAAAAGAACUUCCAAACAUGCAACUCACUCGCACCAAAGGCUAACAAGCCACAAUAGACCCAGUACAUCUGAUAAAUGAACCAAGUUACUCCAGGGAUAACAGCGCUAUCUUCUUCAAGAGCCCAUAUCAAAAAGAAGGUUUACGACCUCGAUGUUGGAUCAGGACAUCCUAGCAAUGCAACCGUUACUAAGGGUUCGUUUGUUCAACGAUUAAUAGUCCUACGUGA